rnacentral:lncRNA from 1 species
GAACAUCUCAAAUAUGACCAGUUAAAUAUCCCUCAAGAAGUUAUCUGAUAUGAAGAAAAUCUUUGGAGGAAACAGAAGGGAAAACUUCCACCUAUGGUUAAGAUUCCUCCACCAUGGCCACCUCUGCCUACCCAGCUAUUUGGGGUCAGCCUGCAAUAGUAGUGAGGAGAGCAAAAACCACAGUGAGGUAGCUGAAAGGUUAAUCAAGCCUCACCUCAAGUCUUCAGCAG